CCUACGGGAGGCAGCAGUGGGGAAUAUUGCACAAUGGGCGCAAGCCUGAUGCAGCAACGCCGCGUGAGGGACGACGGCCUUCGGGUUGUAAACCUCUUUUAGUAGGGAAGAAGCGAAAGUGACGGUACCUGCAGAAAAAGCACCGGCUAACUACGUGCCAGCAGCCGCGGUAAUACGUAGGGUGCAAGCGUUAUCCGGAAUUAUUGGGCGUAAAGAGCUCGUAGGCGGUUUGUCGCGUCUGCUGUGAAAACUGGAGGCUCAACCUCCAGCCUGCAGUGGGUACGGGCAGACUAGAGUGCGGUAGGGGAGAUUGGAAUUCCUGGUGUAGCGGUGGAAUGCGCAGAUAUCAGGAGGAACACCGAUGGCGAAGGCAGAUCUCUGGGCCGUAACUGACGCUGAGGAGCGAAAGCAUGGGGAGCGAACAGGAUUAGAUACCCUGGUAGUCCAUGCCGUAAACGUUGGGAACUAGAUGUAGGGACCAUUCCACGGUUUCUGUGUCGCAGACUACGACAUAACGUUCCCCGUCCCGUCGGGAGGUACGGCCGGCCGACGGACGUAAACCUAACAAAUAGAAGUUAGUACGGACGUGAGACGUGCCGACGGACGACGACGAGGGAGGAGG
rnacentral:rRNA from 1 species